UUAAGCCCAGAUGUAGGAAAAAGUCCAUCCUCCAGUCCUAGCAAAUUAAAAUCAGUUAGCCAUUUUUUUGGGACCAAUGCAGCAGCACAGUCCUAUUUGCCACAGUUCAGCACUCAUGCAGAAGCUCUCAUUUGUCUUCUGGCUGUCCCCAGGAGCCCUACAAGAGGGAAGACUCUAAAGGCAGGUGUUGGUGAUGGGUACAAUCUCACUGUGACCUACCUGCAUGCAAUAUGGCAUCAAUCUUCCUUCUGAACUUGAACCUGAAAUUGAACUGGAAGUAGAAUGAAUGUUUCGGAGUCCUGCGGCACAGACCUUGAAAUGGAAAUUACUACUGCAGAGAAAUGAGGCAUUACAAACCAGGGAACUUGGACAGAUUUACCAGUUCUCAGUUAGGGUUUUCAUAAAAACACAGGAUUUGUCAUUCUGUAUUGGACCAUCAGUCUCUUAAUCUGCUGUACUGCUAAAAGUGGCAACCAAUAAGUGAUGAUUCAGAGAAGGUGAAAAUAACCCACAAUUCUUUUGGUCACUUAUACAAUGCUUCAGUCAAAUUUCUUCCUAUUCCCUCAUGGAAUUAGCUACUGUUAAUGUUUUUCUCUUUUUGUAAAGCUAGUGAGCACAAGUCCAUUUUAUUGAUCUCCAGAAGAAAGCAAUAAAUUCACUGGAAUGAAAACUAAAUUCCAACAUUUUUUGUUCUGUCAACUGGGAAUUACAAGAUUUAGGUUAGAUAUCUCAGCUGAUACAAAUCAUUGUGCAUCACUCAAGUCAACAAAGUCAUCCUAGUUUAUGCCAAACCAGGCUUUGCUUCAGUAUCUAUUGACCAGUAAAUUCUAAUAAACAAACUGACUAGCUAUAAUCAUAAUGGAAUAUUUAACAUUAAUGAAUAAAAAAGCCAUCAUUAUUUUACAU